AAGUCGUAACAAGGUUUCCGUAGGUGAACCUGCGGAAGGAUCAUUCAUAAUAAAAGUGUUUAUGGCACUUUUCAAACAAAUCCAUAUCCACCUUGUGUGCAAUGUUUUUUUUUUUUAUAAUUGAACACCUUUCUUUAAUUGACAAUUGUAUCUGAAGAUCAGUAUUAUUAUGAAUUAACUUAAUUCAAAAUAUAACUUUCAACAACGGAUCUCUUGGCUCUC
rnacentral:misc_RNA from 1 species